CCGGAGGGCUUGUAGCUCAGCUGGUUAGAGCGCGCGCUUGAUAAGCGUGAGGUCGGAGGUUCAAGUCCUCCCAGGCCCACCAAUUUUACAUCACUUUUAAGUGCUUAUAGAAAUUGUAAGCAGUUAUGAAAGCUUGCUGAUAGAAAUUUUAUGGCGCUUAUCCAUUUGGUUUAAACGAUAUGUGACUUAAGCCAUCUAAAAUUAAAGCAGUUCAAAUGCAUAGAAGUUUGAAUUUUAGACAAUGGAAGUAAAUUUGGAUAAUGUGAAUUUUGAGCAGUAUAAAUUUAGGUUCUGCAAAUUUUGCAAAUCUCUCUUCAAAGAGUUUCGCAUGUUUUAUGCUGUUUUAGGGGCCGUAGCUCAGCUGGGAGAGCACCUGCUUUGCAAGCAGGGGGUCGUCGGUUCGAUCCCGUCCGGCUCCACCAUUUUAGGUCAUCAUCAUUGUUAGACGAACAGUGUUUGUAGAAGGUUUUCUGACCUUUUGCGCGUUCUAUUGAAAUUGUG
rnacentral:tRNA from 1 species